GACGAACCGUGCGAACGUUAUUCGGAAUCACUGGGCUUAAAGCGCGUGUAGGCGGGGCGGCACGUCGGUCGCUGAAAGCCCCCGGCUCAACCGGGGAACGGGCGCCGAUACGACCGCCCUGGAGGGACGUAGGGGGGCCUGGAACUUCCGGUGGAGCGGUGAAAUGCGCAGAUAUCGGGAAGAACACCCGUGGCGAAGGCGGCUCUCUGGGACGGUACUGACGCUGAGACGCGAAAGCGUGGGGAGCGAACAGG
rnacentral:rRNA from 1 species